rnacentral:lncRNA from 1 species
GUGUUCUCCAGGGGCAGCUGCUGGGCCCAGCCUCCCCAGGGGCCUCAGAGCCCCAGGUGCCUGGGGCAGGCCUGUGGUGGGCGGCUGGAGGCAGAAGCAGCCUGUUUGCUUGUUUUUUGCACCCCCCACCCCCUGCAAACUGUUCAGUCUCAAGCCAGGCUGGUGCAAAGCCCCAGCUGUGGCUGCUGUGGCUCCUGGCAGCUUUGUCCCCACCGUGAGGCCACCCCGGGGGUCAGCAAAGGCAGUAGCAGCCUGCCUUGGGAUGAUGAUGGCAGUGUCGCUUUUUCUAGUACCUUCUACUAUGAGGGAAUGUGGUUCUUAAGACCCUCAAGGUGUGCUAAGGCCGGAGACCCACUUUCAGCAUGAGAACAGAGCUGCCCGGAGCCUGGGAUGCCACAGCACUGCCUGCACCGCUGAUAGCUGGGGGCCCGUGCUGCAGGACUGGAAGAGCCCUGCUAGAUAUAAAAGGGUUGCUAGCGAGGCAAACGGAUGCCCUUCCAGGCUGGGCACGCUGCUUUUUCUCUUUCCUAAUUGCAGUGCUUGCUUGGGGACUUCAAGGGAAGGCUCUUGGCUGGUGGUCUGAGUGACCCCAGGCUCCGAGAGGGCAGGCAGCGCUGGGGAGGAGGUGGGAGAUGCAGGCAGGCCCGGAGCAGGGCGUGCGGUGGCUCAGUUAAGGUCACUGCCUCCGCAGCCCCUCGGCGCUCAGCCAGCUGCAGCCCCAAAGGUCUAGGGCUUUAGGGAACCGAUCCAGGUUUGGGGGCGGGGAGAAAGUUCUGAGGCAGCUCCUCCCUGGACAGAGCAGGGCGACCCCACGCCGGGCCUGCAGGCUCCUACAGCUACUGCCCGCCAGGGGGCAAGGCGAAGGGCCCUACCAGCCAGCUGAGCGGGGGAUUGUGCUGUAGGCCCUCCAGCAGCUGCUCUAACCCCUGCCAAGCCUGGUGCACACCCUCGUGGCUCUGCACCAGCCGCUCUGCGGGCAGCUCCUCUACAGAGCCGGCCGAGGCCACGAUGCCAUAGAGCUCACAGAGGCUGUGCCGUGCCCGCCCCACUGGCUGCUGGAGCUUGGCGGGCAGGCCCUGGAGGCUGGAGGCCAGGCCACUGUAGGCCGUGUGCAGCUGCCGGAGAAGGCCGCAGACCCUGGACAGAACCCCGGCAUCCCGCUCCUGUGGGAGGAAGGCGCAAGGUUACAAGCCUCAGGGGUCUCUUGGGGUCUUCUCUCACCUCCCACAUUGGACCCGGGCAGCUCUGACUUCGAAACACCCAGAGCCCAGCUACUUCUCACCACCACAGCGUGACUCCUGAGGCCCGGCAGCACUUGCCUGGGUUUACGUCCCACUGUCUCCUCUGGCCCUCGCCCCCACCCGGUGGCCUGACCUCCCCCAUCAGAGUGAUCCUUUUAAAUGAAACCCACCUUGGAUCAGGCCGCUCCUCUGCCCAGAGCCCUCCAGGGCUCCCAACUCCCUUGGGGUUGAAGCCCAGGUCCGGCCCAACCUGCCCCAUCCCCUCCUCACUCGGCUCCAGCCUCCCAGGCCUCCUUCCUAUUCCUCCAACAUGCCGGGACAGUCCUGCCCCACGGCCUUUGCACAGGCCGUGCCCUCUGCUCAGAUCACACUCCUGCCCAUUCUGACGCAUUCCCUCUCUGUCAUUUAGACCUGACUUCAAGUGUCCCCUCUUCAGGGUGACCAGCCCCAGCACAGCCACUUCCUUAUCCUGGUACAUGUUCCGUUUUCCAAGCAUCAUCCAACGCGACGCCCUAUAUAUUCAUCUGUGAAUUGUCUUCCCCAACCAUGGCGCCCCCCCACCCACCAAGGGCAGGCCUGGAUAUCCAGGGUCUUCAGUAGCACUUAAAGGAACAAGUGAGACAUGAUGAGUCACACACCACAUCCCAUUUCCCAGCCCAGCAUCCUUCGCGCGUGGCCCUGAGCAAAACUCUUCUCUUCCUGUGGCCUCCCUCUCCCCUUCUGAAGAGUGCCUGGGCUGAGUUCUGGCCCAGGCUACUUUGCUGUGAGCAUUCAAAGGUGGGAAAAUGCUUUGUGAUCAGCUGCUUGCAGCAUGCCGCGAGGGUGGGCCCAUUCCUUCAUUCCUCCAUGGCGUUUACAGGAACGCCUUCCAACUGCGCCAUUGUACCGCGUGCCAGAGGCACGGCAGCGACUGUGCACCUGGGGGUGGCCAGUGACAUGAGGUGUCCUGAGGGUCCCUAGGACAGACUUGCCCUUGGCACUGUGGACACGGGGGCCGGAUGGUUCUCUGGGGUGGGGCCACCCUGGGCACUGCAGGGUGCUGAGCAGCGUCCCUACUCUCCACCAGGGGCUUCCCCCAGUUGUGACAACCACAGAUGUCCCCAGACAUGGACUAGUGUCCCCUGGAGGCAGGUCAUCCACACUGAGAACCCUGGGUUAGACCCUCAAACUGCGGCUUGUCACAGACCCCGGAUGUUGAUUGAAAACACAGUGGCCUGGGCUGCAUGCCAGGAAUCCUGACCGAGGGCAGCAUCUCAAGGUUUCUCACGGCCCGCCGGGGUGGGACUACUGUCCACCAACAUGUAAAACCUGUGACUGCUGGGCACGGUGGCUCACGCCUGUCAUCCCAGCACUUUGGGAGGCCAAGGCAAGAGGAUCGCUGGAGCGCAGAAGCUCAAGACCAGCCUGGGCUACAUAGGGAGGCCCCAUCUCUACAAAAAAUUUAACCAGGUUUGGUAGUGUGCACCCAGAGGCUGAGGCAGGAGGAUCACUUGAACCCAGGAGUUUAAGACCAGCCUGGGCAACAUAGCAAAAUCUAAUCUCUACUAAAAAUACAACAAAUAGUAGCUGGGCGUGGUGGUGCAUGCCAGUUGUCCAGCUGCUUGGGAGGCUGAGGUGGGAGGAUCUCUUGACCCCAGUAGGUUGAAGCUGCAGUGGGCCAUGAUCAAGCCACUGUAGUCCAGCCUGGGUGGCAGAGCAAGACCCUGUCUCACUGUCUCCAAAACACAAACCCCUAGAGCAGUCCUGUGAGAUUUCUGCCUCCCGGGCUGCACAACAGCUUCUAGAGGAAAUGUUGGCCCUCAGGACUGGGGACAGGGAGACUGGAGGCCAGGGACGCUGCUCAGCUCCCUGCAGGGACCAGGAUGAU